rnacentral:rRNA from 1 species
GAUGAACGCUAGCUACAGGCUUAACACAUGCAAGUCGAGGGGCAGCAUGGUCUUAGCUUGCUAAGGCCGAUGGCGACCGGCGCACGGGUGAGUAACACGUAUCCAACCUGCCGUCUACUCUUGGACAGCCUUCUGAAAGGAAGAUUAAUACAAGAUGGCAUCAUGAGUCCGCAUGUUCACAUGAUUAAAGGUAUUCCGGUAGACGAUGGGGAUGCGUUCCAUUAGAUAGUAGGCGGGGUAACGGCCCACCUAGUCUUCGAUGGAUAGGGGUUCUGAGAGGAAGGUCCCCCACAUUGGAACUGAGACACGGUCCAAACUCCUACGGGAGGCAGCAGUGAGGAAUAUUGGUCAAUGGGCGAGAGCCUGAACCAGCCAAGUAGCGUGAAGGAUGACUGCCCUAUGGGUUGUAAACUUCUUUUAUAAAGGAAUAAAGUCGGGUAUGGAUACCCGUUUGCAUGUACUUUAUGAAUAAGGAUCGGCUAACUCCGUGCCAGCAGCCGCGGUAAUACGGAGGAUCCGAGCGUUAUCCGGAUUUAUUGGGUUUAAAGGGAGCGUAGAUGGAUGUUUAAGUCAGUUGUGAAAGUUUGCGGCUCAACCGUAAAAUUGCAGUUGAUACUGGAUAUCUUGAGUGCAGUUGAGGCAGGCGGAAUUCGUGGUGUAGCGGUGAAAUGCUUAGAUAUCACGAAGAACUCCGAUUGCGAAGGCAGCCUGCUAAGCUGCAACUGACAUUGAGGCUCGAAAGUGUGGGUAUCAAACAGGAUUAGAUACCCUGGUAGUCCACACGGUAAACGAUGAAUACUCGCUGUUUGCGAUAUACUGCAAGCGGCCAAGCGAAAGCGUUAAGUAUUCCACCUGGGGAGUACGCCGGCAACGGUGAAACUCAAAGGAAUUGACGGGGGCCCGCACAAGCGGAGGAACAUGUGGUUUAAUUCGAUGAUACGCGAGGAACCUUACCCGGGCUUAAAUUGCAGAUGAAUUACGGUGAAAGCCGUAAGCCGCAAGGCAUCUGUGAAGGUGCUGCAUGGUUGUCGUCAGCUCGUGCCGUGAGGUGUCGGCUUAAGUGCCAUAACGAGCGCAACCCUUGUUGUCAAUUACUAACAGGUUCCGCUGAGGACUCUGACAAGACUGCCAUCGUAAGAUGUGAGGAAGGUGGGGAUGACGUCAAAUCAGCACGGCCCUUACGUCCGGGGCUACACACGUGUUACAAUGGGGGGUACAGAGGGCCGCUACCACGCGAGUGGAUGCCAAUCCCCAAAACCUCUCUCAGUUCGGACUGGAGUCUGCAACCCGACUCCACGAAGCUGGAUUCGCUAGUAAUCGCGCAUCAGCCACGGCGCGGUGAAUACGUUCCCGGGCCUUGUACACACCGCCCGUCAAGCCAUGGGAGCCGGGGGUACCUGAAGUGCGUAACCGCGAGGAGCGCCCUAGGGUAAAACUGGUGACUGGGGCU